rnacentral:lncRNA from 1 species
ACUGAGACUGGCUUCACCUUCAAGGAGAGAAUGGUGAUGGGAAUUGAGGAAAGAGAAUGAAAAGAGAGAGAGAGAGAGAGAGAGAGAGAGAGAGAGAGAGAGCGCAGGGUUUCCUCGGUGUCAGAUUCUCAGGACAUAUCUGUGCAUCUGCCAAAGGCGUGAGGAUAAAGUCUCAGAUCACAUUUCUUGAGCGUCCUCAGUCUGUCCUGGACAUCUGCAUUCACACUGCACUACGCUACACUACCCUACCCUACUCUACACUACGCUACACUACACUACACUACACUACACUACACUACGCUACACUACCCUACCCUACUCUACACUACGCUACACUACACUACACUACACUACACUGCACUACACUGCACUACACUACACUACACUACUCUACACUGCACUACACUACACUGCACUACACUACACUGCACUACACUACACUGCACUACACUACACUACACUACACUACACUACUCUACACUGCACUACACUACUCUACACUACGCUACACUACACUACACUACACUACACUACUCUGCACUGCACUACACUACACUACUCUACACUACCCUACCCUACACUACACUACACUACACUACACUACACUACACUACACUAACCUACACUACACUACUCUGCACUGCACUACACUACACUACUCUACACUACACUGCACUACACUACACUGCACUACACUACACUACACUACACUACACUACUCUACACUGCACUACACUACUCUACACUACCCUACACUACACUACACUACACUACACUACUCUACACUGCACUACACUACUCUACACUACUCUACACUACUCUACACUACACUACCCUACAUUACACUACACUACACUACACUACACUACACUACACUACGCUAGUAAUGACUAUUACCAUCAACUUCCAUAACAUUAUAAAUAUCUUGAAUGUUACUAAUCCUAAUACCAUCCCUUUUUAUAAUACAGAAAGUGCAUACUGUAAUAAUAAUAUAUAUGAAUGCU